rnacentral:rRNA from 1 species
CCUACGGGCGGCUGCAGUGGGGAAUAUUGCACAAUGGGGGAAACCCUGAUGCAGCGACGCCGCGUGAGCGAUGAAGUAUUUCGGUAUGUAAAGCUCUAUCAGCAGGGAAGACAAUGACGGUACCUGACUAAGAAGCCCCGGCUAACUACGUGCCAGCAGCCGCGGUAAUACGUAGGGGGCAAGCGUUAUCCGGAUUUACUGGGUGUAAAGGGAGCGUAGACGGGGGUGCCAGCCAGAUGUGAAAGCCCGGGGCCCAACCCCAGGACUGCAUUUGGAACUGUGCUGCUAGAGUGUCGGAGAGGCAGGCGGAAUUCCUAGUGUAGCGGGGACAUGCGUAGAGAUUAGGAGGAACACCAGUGGCGAAGGCGGCCUGCUGGACGAUGACUGACGUUGAGGCUCGAAAGCGUGGGGAGCAAACAGGAUUAGAUACCCCAGUAGUC